rnacentral:misc_RNA from 1 species
GGAAGUAAAAGUCGUAGCAAGGUCUCCGUAGGUGAACCUGCGGAGGGAUCAUUACAGAGUUCAUGCCCUUACGGGUAGAUCUCCACCCUAUGUUAUCGUUACCUUUGUUGCUUUGGCGGGCCGUCAGGCCUCGGUCAGACUACCGGCUCCGGCUGGUAAGUGCCCGCCAGAGGAUAUCAAACCUUGAAUUUAAUGUCGUCUGAGUACUAUAUAAUAGUUAAAACUUUCAACAACGGAUCUCUUGGCUCUC